rnacentral:miRNA from 1 species
UGUGGGCAUGUGUCUGUGCCUGGGGGGGCACACACACACACACACACACACAUACACACACACGCAUACACACAC